CUAUUUUCCUCCUCAAAUUUUCUUCCUCAAAUUUUCUUGGAAGCAAAAUAUAAUCAAAGUAACAAACCAUGGAAGUACAAUUUGGAAACAAAAGGAUCUUGUGGGAAUGCUAGAAAUUGUUGAAAGAAGAUCAACAAAAUGCAUGGAAGAGUUGCUGUAUCAACAAAAGUUGAGGGAUUUGGAACAGGGCAUUUGUGAAAUUGUUGAUAGGGCAUUUAAAAGAUACGAUGAGAGGCUGGGUAAAAUAUGUAAGAAGUGGGAGAUAUUGUUUCAAGAAAAAAAGGAGAAAUUUGAAAUUGAGGAGCAAGUGCCCAUUAAUGAUGUGGACAUGGCAGAAGAGGAUCACAAUAUAGAAAAGUUUGAUGUGCAGAAGUUGAAAUCAGUGUUACCAAAGGUGCGCCCAAGGCAAAAGGCGCACGAGACGGAGCUUCAGGCAGUGAAAGGUGCUUGGCCUCACUAAGGCACACCCUGGGCAGCGAGGCCCAGCGAGGAGCAAGGCGUGCCCAGGUAAUACCAAGCGAGUAUAUAAGAAAUGGU
rnacentral:misc_RNA from 1 species